rnacentral:rRNA from 1 species
GACGAACGCUGGCGGCGUGCUUAACACAUGCAAGUCGAACGGAAAGGCCCUGCUUUUGUGGGGUGCUCGAGUGGCGAACGGGUGAGUAACACGUGAGUAACCUGCCCUUGACUUUGGGAUAACUUCAGGAAACUGGGGCUAAUACCGGAUAGGAGCUCCUGCUGCAUGGUGGGGGUUGGAAAGUUUCGGCGGUUGGGGAUGGACUCGCGGCUUAUCAGCUUGUUGGUGGGGUAGUGGCUUACCAAGGCUUUGACGGGUAGCCGGCCUGAGAGGGUGACCGGCCACAUUGGGACUGAGAUACGGACCAGACUCCUACGGGAGGCAGCAGUGGGGAAUAUUGCACAAUGGGCGGAAGCCUGAUGCAGCAACGCCGCGUGCGGGAUGACGGCCUUCGAGUUGUAAACCGCUUUCGCAUGUGACGAAGCGUGAGUGACGGUAAUGGGUAAGGAAGCACCGGCUAACUACGUG